AUAUCUGUUAACACAAUUUACUUGAGUACUUUUAAUCUCUUUCAGGGCAUAAAAGGAGCCAAAGGUUCAAAAGGUGCACCGGGUGAUGCUGGAAGAUCACUGCCAGGUGAUAAAGGCGACAAUGUAAGAGAUCUUUUAAUCUCUAAAUAAUUCAACAUUAAGGUGUGAAGUGUGCUAGGACUGUACAUAUGUGGAAAAAUAAAGUCUUUAAAAAAUGAUGAUAAUUCUAAUUUCUGAUUCAGGGCGAACAGGGCCCACCUGGUCCUCAGGGACCAGCAGAAGUUGUAGAAUUCCCUCCUGACUUUCUGCCACCCAAAGGUUACAAGGGAGACAAAGGACUUCCUGGACCAUGUGGUCCAAAGGGCAAAAGUGGUGGUAGGGGAGACCACUGGUGGGCUACUAGUGAUGUUACCAAAGGCGAGCAAGGAAUUGUUGGAUUGCCUGGUCCAAGGGGUUUCCCUGGACU
rnacentral:lncRNA from 1 species